AUUGAACGCUGGCGGCAUGCCUUACACAUGCAAGUCGAACGGCAGCACGGGGGCAAUCCUGGUGGCGAGUGGCGAACGGGUGAGUAAUACAUCGGAACGUGCCCAACCGUGGGGGAUAACGUAGCGAAAGUUACGCUAAUACCGCAUACGAUCUACGGAUGAAAGCGGGGGACCGCAAGGCCUCGCGCGAUUGGAGCGGCCGAUGGCAGAUUAGGUAGUUGGUGGGGUAAAGGCCUACCAAGCCUCCGAUCUGUAGCUGGUCUGAGAGGACGAUCAGCCACACUGGGACUGAGACACGGGCCAGACUCCUACGGGAGGCAGCAGUGGGGAAUUUUGGACAAUGGGCGAAAGCCUGAUCCAGCAAUGCCGCGUGCAGGACGAAGGCCUUCGGGUUGUAAACUGCUUUUGUACGGAGCGAAACGGCUUUCACUAAUACUGGGGGCUAAUGACGGUACCGUAAGAAUAAGCACCGGCUAACUACGUGCCAGCCGCCGCCGUAA
rnacentral:rRNA from 1 species